AUAUCGACGAGUUUGAUCCUGGCUCAGAACGAACGCUGGCGGCAGGCUUAACACAUGCAAGUCGAACGCCACGCAAGGGGAGUGGCAGACGGGUGAGUAACACGUGGGAACAUGCCCAAAGGUACGGAAUAUUCUCGGGAAACUGGGAGCAAUACCGUAUGUGCCCGAAAGGGGAAAGAUUUAUCGCCUUUGGAUUGGCCCGCGUUGGAUUAGCUAGUUGGUGGGGUAAAAGCCUACCAAGGCGACGAUCCAUAGCUGGUCUGAGAGGACGACCAGCCACACUGGGACUGAGACACGGCCCAGACUCCUACGGGAGGCAGCAGUGGGGAAUCUUGGACAAUGGGCGCAAGCCUGAUCCAGCCAUGCCGCGUGAGUGAUGAAGGCCCUAGGGUUGUAAAACUCUUUCGUGGGGGACGAUAAUGACGGUACCCCAAGAAGAAGCUCCGGCUAACUUCGUG
rnacentral:rRNA from 1 species